rnacentral:rRNA from 1 species
CGCGUAGGCGGGCGACCAAGUCAGGGGUGAAAUCUUUCGGCUUAACCGGAAAAUAGCCUCUGAUACUGGUUGUCUUGAGGGAGGUAGGGGUCUGUGGAACUUCUGGUGGAGCGGUGAAAUGCGUAGAUAUCAGAAGGAACGCCGGUGGCGAAAGCGACGGACUGGACCUCAUCUGACGCUGAGGCGCGAAAGCUAGGGGAGCAAAUG